UAAUUGUUAUCAGUAGACUAGAAGCCAAUAAUGGAAUCCCUGCUGGUAACAUGUACGGGUGACAAACUAUGAGCAGAAGGGUAAAUAAGGCCAAGGCCAGGGGAGUGACAUACAGCAGCCUGGAUCCUGUGGGAAGCUGGACCCAUGCCAACAAAACAGGUUUCCCAGAGCCAAAUGCAAGAUCCCACCCAAGCCGCACCCCUGGAAUGGGGAACGGUAUCCACGCAAGCAGGGACUCUGAAAAGGAUUCAGGGGUUAUGCUGGUAAACCGCUCAACAUGAGCUCCCAGUGCGUUGCUAUGGUGAAUACGGCUACCGCUAGCAGUAGGCACAGGAGCAGAGGCGUGAGCAGGGCAGGGAGGUGACACAGCAUCAGUAAAACUGAGAUUGGAGACUGUAACCUAGUUUAGGGGCCACAUUUUAAAAAGAUGUUGAAAAACUGCAGAUUGGGCAGCUGGAGAAAAACGCCUUCUUGUGAGCUACUGAAAGGAGCUACAUGUGUUUAAUUUCUACAAAAGAGGCUGAGAGGUGACUUCAUUGCAGUGUCCAAGUGCCUUCCUGAAGAGAACAUUUCGGGCAUUAAGGGGCUGUUUAAUAUUGCAGAGAAAGGCAGAACAAGACCAGGGGGCUGGAAAGUGAAAACAGACACAUUCAUGUUAGAAAUAAGGCACAAAUAUUUCACAGCAAGGACACUUCACCAUUGGAACCAACUACCAAAGCAAUUGACGGAGUCUCCAUAUCUUGAUGUCUUCUAAUGAAGACUAGAUGCCUUUGUGGCAUGUGCCUAUGAUAUACCAGAGGGCUGGGAUGUGAUUUAAUGCUCUAAUGGUCCCUUCUGGCCUUUUAAAGUCUACUAAUUAAUGAAAAACUGAGCAUGGCCGAGGGAGCAGCCUCUGGGGCUUUGCUGUGCAGUCAACUGAUCCCCAGACUCAAUUGUCUGGAAUGAUCCACGGGAAGCCGCUCAAACAUCGAAAGAGGCUCGCUAGGGGCAGGACCCCAGCCUCGCAGGGGUGGGGCGGGUGUGGCUCUGACAUCACAAAGGCCUGUUGCAGUACCUCAGCCGAAUGGUGGUAGGGAGGUGGUGACAUCACAGAGAGACCCUGACAACGGCCAGGCAGGAUGGAAGCGCAAGGUGGGGCAACCUCAGAGCCUCCCGUGGUUCUGCAGCAGCGAGGGUCCUUCUCAAGGUCUCUCCUUGAGGACUGAGAGAGAAUAAGGAUUAAUGUACGUGAGCCUAAGGAGAAACCAGGUCGGAGUUUUCUCCUUCCUUACUACUGAUUUUGUAGCCCCUGUUUAGAAGGCUUUGUCUGACCUUGAGUGUGCCAUGCUGGGAUGCAUCCCAGACACAGACCGGCUCCGAUACAUGUUGGAGCCUGGCAACUGCUGCAUCAGGUCCAGUGUCCCAGGAGAGAGCCAAAGUCAUAAGGAGCAGCAGAGCCCAGUUCUGAUUCACCACCAUCACCCUCCCUGAAUUUGAUGAGGACGUCACGGCCAAGGUGAUGCACUAGCUCCACUCCACCUGAUCCUGUUACCAGAAUGUGUCUGUCUGCGAGUCCGUUUGUUCAAGAACUCCUCCUAAACGGGCACCGAGGUCACAGCUACCUGGGAAGAAGGGUUUUUUGAGCAGCCAGUGGCAAAACGAUCAAGAUAGAGCUGCAGGAAGGGGCCUACGAAGGCAAAAGUGCCUAGGGCCCACAAGUCGUAAUGCGGCCCUGCCUGAUAUGUUUCUCUGAUUGGCUCAAGGGACAGUGAGCAUCAGCCAGAGUGCCGUAAGUACUACUUUAGGAACAAUUGCCUCUCUACAGAUUGCACCUGUUGCAAAUGCUGCUGCUGGAGUCCCCUGAAACUCACCACAGAUAGAGACACGAUAUAAACUAGGCUGCGAGCAGGCUGGAAACGUCCCCGUUGGAGAGAAUGGGGAUCGAAGAGCUUAGCCGCAAGCUAUCUUGGAACAGGCUGGCUCUUCCUGGAGUGAUCCCCAGCUGUGCUUGCAGGCUGUAAAUUAAACAAACCGAAUUUCCCAUCUAACAGCCCCCGGGAGUGGUGGAACAAACAGCAUGGCCUUAUUGCUGUUAUUUCCUCUGAUUUAAAUCUUCCCUCCACUUCAGACCAAUGGUGCCCACUUUACCUGAUUUGUUAUUUAUUACAAUGUUUUA